rnacentral:lncRNA from 1 species
CUCUCUUUUAAAAAAUCAGCCAUUUGGGGUUUUAAGCCAUAAACGAUUUUUCUUGUUGCAGGGGAUUGCAGAGGCAAAGCUAGACUAGGUCUUGGAAGCUGGUGUAAGGCGGUGCGCGGAAGGCAGGACGCUGAUGGGAGAGACUGGUCGAAGAAAAGCCGAAAUGGAUUCUCCGUGCCUUGGAUGGAGAAAGAGGGGGGAAGUGCGAGCUCCUUCAACUCGUUCUGUCCGGUGAGGAGUGAUCCAGCUUGGGCUGACGAGAGGCUCCGGAGCCUUCACGUUCAGUGCUUUUUACCUGCCAAUCAAACUGCUACAAGACAACACCCUGAUCUGGCAUGGUCGCGCGCAUCGAACCUAGAAAUUGUACUCUCCUCAAUCCGCUUAAGAGAAUCUGGCUGAUGGCUUUGGUCUGAGAGUUCAGACAUCUCUUGUGCAGCUAAGAAAGACCUCAUUUUCCAUUUGCUGGAUCCUCCUGGUUUGUCAUCCCUGAAUCCUGUAAGAAGGUCAUCAGGAGGUCCCCUGCGCUAGAAGGACCAUGUCUUUUGUCUACACACAUGACUGUGUACCAUGUGCAUGCCUGGUGUUCAUGGAAGUCAGAAGAGAGCAUGGCAUUCCCUGGGACUUCAGUUACAGACAGGCAUGAUGGCAUGGUGGAAUAUUCCUUGAAUCAUAGCACUCCUGAGGUGGAGGGCAGACAGGUCUCUAUGAGUUUAAGGCAAGUCCAGUCUAUGCAGUGAGUUCGAGGACAGCACAGUUGCACAGUAUAAUC